rnacentral:rRNA from 1 species
CCAGACUCCUACGGGAGGCAGCAGUAGGGAAUAUUGCUCAAUGGGGGAAACCCUGAAGCAGCAACGCCGCGUGGAGGAUGAAGGUUUUCGGAUUGUAAACUCCUUUUGUUAGAGAAGAUAAUGACGGUAUCUAACGAAUAAGCCACGGCUAACUACGUGCCAGCAGCCGCGGUAAUACGUAGGUGGCAAGCGUUGUCCGGAUUUACUGGGUGUAAAGGGCGUGCAGCCGGGCCGACAAGUCAGAUGUGAAAUCCGCGGGCUUAACCCGCGAACUGCAUUUGAAACUAUUGGUCUUGAGUACCGGAGAGGUCAUCGGAAUUCCUUGUGUAGCGGUGAAAUGCGUAGAUAUAAGGAAGAACACCAGUGGCGAAGGCGGAUGACUGGACGGCAACUGACGGUGAGGCGCGAAAGCGUGGGGAGCAAACAGGAUUAGAUACCCGCGUACAC